UGCGUAGGCGGAUUAAUAAGUCAGUGGUGAAAACCUGCAGCUUAACUGUAGAAUUGCCAUUGAUACUGUUAGUCUUGAGUACGGUCAAGGUAGGCGGAAUGUGUAAUGUAGCGGUGAAAUGCUUAGAUAUUACACAGAACACCGAUUGCGAAGGCAGCUUACUGGGCCAUUACUGACGCUGAUGCACGAAAGCGUGGGGAGCGAACAGGAUUAGAUACCCUGGUAGUCC
rnacentral:rRNA from 1 species